CCUGGCGGCAUGCCUACCAUGCAAGUCGUACGGAGAGUGGGGCAACUCACUCUCAGUGGCAAACGGGUGAGUAACGCGUGAAUAACCUGCCUUUGAGAAGGGGAUAACUGUCCGAAAGGAUAGCUAAUACCCUAUAUUGCCUUUUGUCACUAAGGCAAAAGGUGAAAGCGAGGCUGUCAAAGGCUUCGGCUCAAAGAGGGGUUCGCGUCCUAUCAGGUAGUUGGUGGGGUAAUGGCCUACCAAGCCAAUGACGGGUAGCUGGUCUUAGAGGAUGAUCAGCCACAGUGGGACUGAGACACGGCCCGCCCCUACGGGGGGCAGCAGUGGGGAAUCGUGGGCAAUGGGCGCAAGCCUGACCCCGCAAUGCCGCGUGAGGGAAGAAGCCCUUCGGGGUGUAAACCUCUGUCAGAUGGGAAGAUGAGACUAGGGGCUAAUACCUCCUGGUCUUGACGGUACCAUCAGAGGAAGGGACGGCUAGCUACGUGCCAGCAGCCGCGGUAAU
rnacentral:rRNA from 1 species